AGCUGGGCUCAAAUGGCUAAAUGGAUCUGGCUCAAACUUGGUGAAAGAUAAUGACUUGGUCAUAGGGAAGCUACUGGAAAAGUUACAGCUUAAUUGAAAAUUCCUAGGGGGUACUUCCUUCACAGAGCUUCCAAAUGGGCAGAAACUUAGGAAAAUUCUCGGACAACAUUGACAAAAGGGAUUGAGCUGAUUUCUGGUAUUCACUAGUGAUUUAAAAAUGUAAACCAUGAUGAAAAGUUUCAGCUCAAGGAG
rnacentral:lncRNA from 1 species